rnacentral:rRNA from 1 species
GUGGGGAAUAUUGGACAAUGGGCGAAAGCCUGAUCCAGCAAUGCCGCGUGAGUGAUGAAGGCCUUAGGGUUGUAAAGCUCUUUUACCAGGGAUGAUAAUGACAGUACCUGGAGAAUAAGCUCCGGCUAACUCCGUGCCAGCAGCCGCGGUAAUACGGAGGGAGCUAGCGUUGUUCGGAAUUACUGGGCGUAAAGCGCACGUAGGCGGUUACUCAAGUCAGAGGUGAAAGCCCGGGGCUCAACCCCGGAACUGCCUUUGAAACUAGGUAACUAGAAUCUUGGAGAGGUCAGUGGAAUUCCGAGUGUAGAGGUGAAAUUCGUAGAUAUUCGGAAGAACACCAGUGGCGAAGGCGACUGACUGGACAAGUAUUGACGCUGAGGUGCGAAAGCGUGGGGAGCAAACAGGAUUAGAAACCCUGGUAGUCC